UUCUCAAUGAUAUAAUAUUGAGUAAUACCUGCUCCAUGAAAUUAAAUAGCCGCAGAAUUUUACUGUGCUAAGGUAGCAUAAUCAUUUACCUUUUAAUUAAAGGCUAGAAUGAAAGGUGUAACAUAAAACUUCUUUUUUAAUUAUUUAUAAAAUUUAUAUUAAAAAUUAAAAUAUUUUUAUGACUUCUAAAGACGACAAGACCCUAUCAAACUUUACUAUUGUUAUGCUGGGGCAGCAAAAUAAUAAAAACUUUAUUCCCACCCCAUUAAUUAAUGAACCAAUAUUAUUGAUACCAUGAUCAAGUUACUGUAGGGAUAACAGCAUAAUUCUUUUUCAAAGUUCUAAUUUAAAAAAGAGAUUAUGACCUCGAUGUUGAAUUAUUUAUCUUAUAAACGCAAGAGUUUAAUAAGAAGGUCUGUUCGACCUUUAAAAUUUUACA
rnacentral:rRNA from 1 species